GGUGUGGAACUAUUGUCCGAACCCGUGACCGACGGAGUGUCGAGCGUGACAAUCCUUUGUGCGUAGUGUGAUGGAUGAACUUGGUGAACAAAGUAAAGGUCGAGAUACAACGAAGAAGUGUGUGUAGUGCUUCAACAACAAUGAAGAAUGAAACAAGCAAAAGCCAUAUUCAUGUUCAAGGAUGUGCUUACCUAUUGCAGGUACAUGUUUGUUAUGUAAUUGUUAAUCAAAGACAAUGAUUCGUUAUUGUUUUCAUCAUUUUUAUUGUCAUUGUUGAUGGAUUAAAAAUUUGCAGGUAUGGUUUUGUCACCAUUUUGUGACAUCGAAGUCCAUUUAUAG